rnacentral:tRNA from 1 species
CAAGAAAUAGUUUAAUGUUAAAAUCUUAGCUUUGGGAGUUAAGGCUGGGAGUUAGAGCCCCCCUUUCUUGA